rnacentral:rRNA from 1 species
AUGGAUGACCGGUUCCCUCCUAUGGCCAUCGUGCUCUCCCCCAUGUGGUUCUGUCUGCCCGGCGGAUCGACGCCCACGGCCUGGACAAGAGGGGAUAGUGGUCCCCUCUUCGGCAACAUGGACGCGACGGUGGCUGAGUUGGUGGCCGUGGCGAGCUCUGGUUCCUCUGGUCGUGAUGGCUGUGUUGCUCAAAUCAGUGUCGUGUCUUCUUGGGACACCUCUGGUCCUUGCCUUGCAUCAACGACAUGCUUCAAUUGUGGGCUGCUGCUUGUGUUCGAUGUGCUUGCUGGAGUGGUCGCGCCCUUUGCCUUCCGACGGCCUGACAUCUAUGGAGAGCUUGCUCUCGGGGAGCAGUUUCUCCUUGUCGACGACAUAGCAUCACUCAAGCCUGUGCAUGAAGAGUUGGCCCCCGUCUGUUGGUGA